GGAGUCUGGUCCGUGUCUCAGUACCAGUGUGGGGGACCUUCCUCUCAGAACCCCUACUGAUCGUAGGCCAGGUGGGCCGUUACCCCGCCUGCAACCUAAUCAGACGCAUCCCCAUCCAUGGCCGGUAAACCUUUAGUCCUCGUUAGAUGUCUGCAAAGGACGCCAUAGGGCAUUAAUCCGCUUUUCAACGGGCUAUUCCCUAGCCAUGGGCAGGUUGGAUACGCGUUACUCACCCGUGCGCCGGUCGCCAUCAGAGUCUGCAAGCAAACCCUAUGCUGCCCCUCGACUUGCAUGUGUUAAGCCUGUAGCUAGCGUUCAUC
rnacentral:rRNA from 1 species